AAGUUCCGACCUGCACGAAUGGCGUAACGACUUCCCCACUGUCUCCAGGAUAUGCUCAGCGAAAUUGAAUUCUCCGUGAAGAUGCGGAGUACCCGCGGUUAGACGGAAAGACCCCGUGCACCUUUACUGCAGCUUCAGAGUGGCAUUAGGAAAGAACUGUGUAGCAUAGGUGGGAGGCUUUGAAGCAUUGUCGCCAGACAAUGUGGAGCCAUAGG
rnacentral:rRNA from 1 species